rnacentral:lncRNA from 1 species
AUGCCGAGUCCCCCCGCGGCGGGGGGUUUUCGAGCGAGAGAGGAAUGCUGCUCGAAGUGCUUGACCACGAUCCCGCCGCCCCGGCGCGGUCGUGCCCCCGCCGCUGCAUGCGCCGGGGUCGGUCCCGCUCGCUCGAGUGAGCGUCUUCCCUCCGAGAUGGGGAAUUGGGGUUGGCGUGACCGGCCGGGUGUGCCUUGGUCGCUCGUCCCGACCGCCCCGAGAGGCCUUUCCGCCCCCAUCCUGUCCCGGGUACCUAGCGCGUUCUGGCGCGGAGGUUUAAAGAUUCGGGGGUUGCCCUCCGCUCUCCAGCGGGGUCUUGGGACGGCCGCCCCCUGGGUUUGCCGGACGGGCCAGUGGGAAGAGGAGAUGCCUGGCUCCGACUUCUCCCGUUCUCCGGUGUGGUGCUGGGUUCGGGUCCUGGUCGUGGGGGACCGCCCGCCCGCCCUCGGUGAGGUGUGCUCCGCGUGGAGGCCGCACGCCGAGGGCCGGUGCCGCGACGAGGCUGGGUCGUCGCUCCUCCCCCUCUGGUCGGGUUGCCGGUGGCCGGGUUGCCCGCGUGCCCCCCUCCGUGGGGUCGCCGCCGUUGGGUUUGUCGGUGGCUGCCGUCCCCCGCGUCGGCCCGUCCCGCUUGCCGCCUCGGGGAAACGGUCGUUCCUCCGAGCCCCCCCACUGCUGUGUCGUGUCUCGUUUUUACCUUCCGUUUACGCGUUGUGGGGGUUGCUUUGGGGUGUUGGGGGGGGGCCACGCGCCUCUCCCCCCCCCUCCCUCCCGCGUAUCCCAAAAAAACCUAAAUUCGGACAACUCUUAGCGGUGGAUCACUCGGCUCGUGCGUCGAUGAAGAACGCAG